UGCUUCAUACAUGCAAGUCGAACGGUUAAAGCCCGCAAGGGCAUAUAAAGUGGCGCACGGGUGAGUAACAGGUGGAUAAUCUGCCUUUCGGUGGGGGAUACCGGCUGGAAACGGCCGUUAAUACCGCAUUCGAUUGUCGGGUCUCAUGGUCUGACAAGGAAAGGGGCUGCAAGGCCUCGCCGAAAGAUGAGUCCGCCCCCCAUUAGCUAGUUGGUGAGAUAACAGCCCACCAAGGCAUCGAUGGGUAGCCGAGCUGAGAGGUUGAUCGGCCACACUGGAACUGAGACACGGUCCAGACACCUACGGGUGGCAGCAGUAGGGAAUAUUGCACAAUGGGCGAAAGCCUGAUGCAGCAAUGCCGCGUGAGUGAUGAAGGCCUUCGGGUCGUAAAACUC
rnacentral:rRNA from 1 species